rnacentral:piRNA from 1 species
UAGCCUAUGUUGAAUUGGCAUUUUGUGA